rnacentral:rRNA from 1 species
AUACAGAGGGUGCGAGCGUUGUCCGGAAUCACUGGGCGUAAAGGGCGCGUAGGUGGCCUGGUAAGUAGGGGGUGAAAUCUCGUGGCUCAACUGCGAGGCUGCCUCCUAAACUGUCAGGCUCGAGCAGAGUAGAGGCAGGUGGAAUUCCCGGUGUAGCGGUGGAAUGCGUAGAGAUCGGGAAGAACAUCGGUGGCGAAGGCGGCCUGCUGGGCUCUUGCUGACACUGAGGCGCGACAGCGUGGGGAGCAAACA